AACUCUGACAUCAGUCUACUUCCAGCCUACGAAUAGUCACACCAGCAAAAUAAGGAAAGCAAAAGAAGAUAAGAGAACACGGCCACCACAGGCAUGGUUGAGAAGGCUCCAUCCCAGCCACUCUGCAGCUGUGUGUCCCUUGGCAAUUACCCCCCCAACCCCUGUCUCUCUGGGCUGUUUUCUUAUCUGUAAACUGAGUGUAAUAGGCCUACCCUGAAGGUAUCUCCCCUCAUCAAAUGUGAGGACAAACCCAGAAAGCAGCCUUAGGCACAGUUCCUUGCAAAUGACGCUCCAAAAAUAGCUGUCAUUGCUGUCAUCACCAUGGUUACCACCCACAUCACUGCAGUCACUGUCACCAUCAGAGCGAUGGUCCCACUACCACUGUGGUCAGUAUCACCACCGACAUCAUCGCCAUCAGCCUCACCGUCACCACCACCACCAUCGUGGCCCCCAGAUAUGCGGCUUUGGGAUUUUCCACUGGCAUCCUGGAAUGUUCUCAUCAGAAACCUUAAAGGCGCCAUGACCAGGCUGGAGCUGUGCCCCAGGGCAUCUGGCAGCUGAGUAUCUGACACAUACUGCACAAGCCCAGCUUUCUCCAUGUAUAAUCCGUGUGGAUAGCAAAGGCCUCUCAAACAGAACAAGCCAACCUCACAGGGCCCUUGGAGGACAGGGAAUCCCACUGGCCACUGUGAUGUCAUGGGCCAUUGUGACAUCAUCUGCUACCAGCCCCUCACUAGGGGCCAAUCAGAUAAGGCUAUGUGAGCCUGGAUUCUUCAGUUUCCAAAACUGUCUUCUUCGUAAAGUACACUGCCUCAGUUCCAUGUGAUGAGCAGCUCCCCUCUGCCAUGCCUUUCUGCUGUGCUAUUUCUUCCACGGAGCCAGCUGACCAAGGACGGGAUCUAUUAAAACUGUGAUCCAAAAUGAACCUCCUUCCUUU